CCUACAGGAAGUGAUGUCAUGAAGGCCAAGGGCAUGCGGUGCCUGAAAAUAAUGGCCUGCCGAUGUUCAUUCUUCGUGUUCCUACCUUUUUUUUUUCUUGAAACUAAUUCAACAACUGUAACAAAUCCUUGAUUCGUGUAUUUCUCAAUAUUGCCCCCUCAGCUACAACAGGAGCACAUGCAGAGUCCCACAAACUGGCACGUGAUGCGGAUUCGUGAGCCCCAAGUAAAUUCCACCAAAUUUAAAGUUUAUUCCUACCUGACUAAAGUACAAGGCAGAGAACUCCAAAAUCACCAGAUAUUGAUUAACAGAUGCAGUCACAGGAUAGCAAACCAACAUUGGGGUCAAAUCCACUUCAGCCUGCCUGGUGUUGCCCAUGGAUACGGGACUGAACAGCAGGGGCUGCUUACCUGAACCAGGGUCAUCUGUGAGCCGAGGGCCAGCAGGAUCUUCUCGGUUUUGGUGGGGUAGGGGUUGUCCCUGUGCUUGUACAGCCACUGCUUCAGAGGCCUGGCCAUGUCCUGGAGAGCCUGCCGCUUGUGCCGAACCUUACCACCGCUCUGCCGAGACCUGGGGGGGCGGGAGCGGGGCGCUUAACUGAGCACCAUCUCGCACCUGAGCACUGCUUAAAUCCAGUGCCCAUUCCUGAGCAACAUAUCAGACCUGAGCACCGCCUAAAUCCACUGCCCUCAGCUGAACACCAUCUCAGACCUGAGCACUGCUUAAAUCCACUGCCCUCAGCUGAGCACCAUCUCAGACCUGAGCACUGCUUAAAUCCAGUGCCCAUUCCUGAGCAACAUCUCAGACCUGAGCACUGCCUAAAUCCACUGCCCUCAGCUGAGCACCAUCUCAGACCUGAGCACUGCCUAAAUCCACAAACCUCAACUGAGCACCAACUCAAACCUGAGUAAUGCCUAAAUCCACUGCCCUCAGCUGAACACCAUCUCACACCUGAGUACUGCCUAAAUCCACUGCCCAUUCCUGAGCACUGUCUCACACCUGAGCACUGCCUUAAUCCACAGCCCUCAACUGAACACUGUCUCACUCCUGAGCACUGCCUGAAUCAACUUCCCAUUCAUGAGCACUGCCUCAUACCUGAGCACUGCCUAAAUCCACUGCCCUCAACUGAACACCACCUGAGUACUCGGGCCAUUCCUAACCACUCUCACCUGAACAACUCCUAGAGCCACAGCCCACAGCUGAACACCGUCGAAACACCCAGCACAUUCCUAACCACUUACACCUGAGCAUCACCUAAAUCCACAGGCCAAAGCUGAACCCCAUCUGAACACCCAGACCAUUUCUGAGCACACACCUGAGUGCCAACUAAAUCCACAACCCACAGCUGAAAACCACCUCAAUAAACAUCCAAAUCCUGAACACCACCUAGAGCCACAACCCAUAGCUGAACAUUCACACCUCAAUACCUUGAUCCACAGCCCACAUCUUUAACACUAAGUGAAAUAACACUUUAUGAACCAUUAAUAAAUAGCCAGUCACAAAUAUUACUGCUCUUAUCACAGUGCCCAACUGGACCCUCACACCUGAAUGCCACUUUAAUCCCAGUCUCACACAGAACACUAUGGGCCAGUUUCACAGACACAGAUUAAGACCAGAUUAAAUUCAAUUUUUAGUGGAGAUUCAGCAUGCAAAACUAUUUAGUCCAGAACUAAGUUUAAUCUGUGUCUGUGAAACCGGCCCUAUGUGUUUUUCUACAUUAUUAAGGUCCUUGACUCCCGAAAGC